UUAAAGAAGCAACAACGUCAUCAUGUUUAAUAUCAACGAUUGUUUUCUUGCCAAAAUAGUUAUACAAAUCUUUUUUUGUAAAACCGACAACAUCAUAUCCACCCUUGUUUGCCACCACACGACCCAUUAUAUUAAUCCCAAUUUGAGCUUUGUCAGCAUCAAUUAUUCCACGGUAAGUAGGAAAUAAAUGUAUAAAUUUAGAUGGUGUUAGUUCAUGGUUAUGUCGCGCUUCAAAAGUAGUCUCAUCUCAAACUCUCUACAUUAUAAUGUAUACGAACGUGGACAUUACAAUUAAUCCGGGUGACAGAUCUAUGAUCUCUUUUCCUAUCAACCCUCGUCAAGUGUUUUUUGUUUCUUUCUCCUUGUCUGUUGCACACAAACUACCGCGUUACAAUCGUUCCCCUAACAUUUUUGCUCACAAAAUCUUUCCAAACAACGAAACUAGUGCAUUUUGCAUACUUUGCAUAAAAGUCAUAAGCUUCUUUUUCACUACCAAAAUCAAGACCCUCAAUAUCAUCUGCCGUCAUGGUAUUAAUCCCAACUUUUAAAAUAUAAUAUAUAAAUGAUGAUGUGGACAAAAUUUACUUUUCUAUUGGUUGAAUCUUUUAUAAUACCAGUACAUUAAGUUUUGGCAUGAAUACAGUAGAGUUUUCCUAAUUUAUUUAUUAUUCUAUUUUUCCCUACUUUUCACUUGCUAGUGAUUGUGCAUGAAAAUGAUACUGAAUAGUGAAUAUGCUACUCUUAUUUAAUUCUUCUCUGCGGUAACUUCCCAACAAAAGCAGUUUCAAAACAGAUAAAAGGCAAACUGUUACAAGAUAGUAGUUAACUGCAUAAAAACCAACAUAACCUGUAGGGCAUAGAGAGCCUAGUAUCCCAACCUAAACCACACAAAAAAACCAAAUGGGACUUUGUUUCCCACCCUUAUUCUAUUGAGAAAAAUGCAAUGAACACUUUCUUGCAUAGCUCAUGAGGAUUUCUUAAGUGAGGGAUCCCGGAUGACUUGAGGCUCGAAUUCUGGUUUCACAUACCGAGCAAGUGUCUCCGCAUACAUCUCGUAUCGUGCAGUCAUUCUAAAACACCACUUGUCUUUAAACUGUCUACACAAAGUUAAGAUCCAUAUCUGUUAUUAAUAAGCCAUCCCUUUUGCGUGAUAAAGACGGCGUGCAAGAUGCAUCUGGGGCUGAAACAUAACUUGAUCCAUAAAAAUAUCCCGGAUCUACAUGUGCUGCCUUUCCAUCACCAGAAGUAAAUGAAUUGAGGAAUGUCUCAGUCCCAACACGGUUGACUGUAGCAACAAAGUAACUAUUUGCUAUUGCAGCAUAACGUCCCUAAAAACAUAGGCCAAAUUCAUUCAGGGUACUUUAAGUUUCGUGUUUGUAACAGUUAAGUCCUUGUAACAGUAGUAGUUAUUUAUUUUGGUAAACAAAAAGCAUAGUUAGUAAAAAAGAGUCUAACAUGUCUUCCAUCAAUAUAAAAACAACUAACCUCUAUUGGCCACAUUGCUUCAGUGAGUUCACCAACAGUGGCACAAGGGUUGAAAACAAUUUCCGCGCCAUUUAAGCCAAAAGUUGCACAAUUUAAAGGAUGGUGCCUACCAUAACAUAUAUUAACAGCAAUUUUUCCAAAUGCCGUUUCAAAUACGGGGUGACCUGUAUUUCCUUCCAUAUAAUACAUGCUCUCAUUGAAGUCUCCAACUCUUGGUAUAUGGUUCUGCGAAAUGUGUGUUCAUUAGAUAGCUAAAAGAAGUGCUUUUGCAUUGGAAGCAAAAGUAGAAAGUUUAGGAAAGUCACCUUCCUGUGUAUUCCAAUUAUAUUGCCAUGAUUUCCAAUUACAACGGCGGUNNNNNNNNNNNNNNNNNNNNNNNNNNNNNNNNNNNNNNNNNNNNNNNNNNNNNNNGUUCCAAAUAACUUCUCCAUGGUUCAUAUCCCUCUCAAGAAUUGGGCUUAUAAUCACCAUGUUAUACUUCAACGCGUAGCUUCGCAAAAAUUUCGUUGAUUCUCCAUCAACAGGUUCCGCAAAUUCACACCAUCUUUUGUCUCGUGUACAAAUGGCAAAUGGCAUCAUCCAUGCUUCCUACAAUGAAAUUAUUAAAAACAAAAACCAAAGGUUUUCUGAUAAAUGUUCAUACUUCAUAUGCAAGCAACCUACUUGCAAGCAUAAUAUGUUGACUCCUGAUGAACCAGCAGCAUCAAGAAUUGGCUUUACUUUCUCAAAGAUAGCCUUCUUUUGGUCCACAAAGUGAGCAGUUGUUGGGAGGGCAAUAGAGUUUUGAAUCAAACCGACCCUCACGACUCGAGGUUCCCUUAUUACUUCUUUAUCAACAUGAAAGCUGUAAGCCUCAAAGAAAUAAACUUAAAAUCAUGAGACCAACCAAAAGUUAUAGCUUAACUUCUUAGAAUUGAGAAUUGGGUCUAACUCAUCCUUACAAAAUCGGCUUGUAAGGUGAGGAUUGCCUCUAGUUUAUAAACACUUAGUCAGGUCAUCUCUCAACCAANNNNNNNNNNNNNNNNNNNNNNNNNNNNNNNNNNNNNNNNNNNNNNNNNNNNNNNNNCUACUGGGCUUGGUACGCGGAUAUAAAUGGUAGGUGCCCCGAUAUCGGGUGGCCCAACGGAUCUUGGAGAGGCUCUGAUACCAUCUUAGAAUUGAGUAUUGGGUCUAACUCAUCCUUACAAAACCGGCUUGUAACGUGAGGAUUGCCUCUAGUUAUAAACACUUAGUCAUGUCAUCUCUCAACCAAUGUGGAAUUUCUUAACAACUAACAGAUAAGUUUCAACCAGACAAAAUAUCCGACGUAUACUCUGUCGGUUUAAGGAAGCAACACAACCAAAUUAAUCCAUGAUACCUGGAGGUCAAAACCAUGUGUGGCAGAGAGAGAUGUUGUAGAUUCUGGUAGAGCAAUGGCUUCAAGUUCUUUUCCACAAUUAAGGCCAGUAAGCAAACGAUUGACUUCCUGCAAGAACAUGAAGAUAUGUUAGUUAGUGAUUAUGUUUGUUUUUAGGAUCGAACCCGAGACCUCCACCUUACUGAUUAUGUUAGUUUUAAGUGUUAUUGAAAAUUUCCUAAAUUUAGCUUAGACAAAAUAUAAUUCAUAAAUUUUUAUCAUUUAAAUUUUUUAUUUCAAAUUAAUUAUCCAAACAAUAAAAUUUACAAAAAAGAAUUUAAAUUCCCUAAACACCACCUAUCCAACCACACUCUUUAGAAAAACAAUUGGUAAUUAAGGACAGGGCAAAGUGAAUAGAGAAAUUAUAUAUUUUGACACAAUUUUGACAUUAAUUUUAACAAUAAAUUAGAUGGCUAAAGUAGUUUGAAUGUGUACAAUUAACGUAGUUCAGUAAGUGGUUAAUGAAAAUAACAAGAUGUCACAGUUCAUUAACUAUAUACUCAUUUGUGAUAAAUUGUGUUCAGUUGAUGAUUAAUGAGAUCGAGCAACAAUUUACUAAGUAUUAAAUAUGUUUUUGGUUCCUAUAGUUUCUCAGAAUUUUUUAUUUUAGUUCUGAAGAUUUUUUUUCACACUUUUUAGUCCAUGAAGUUUUUUCCUUCAAUGUUUUUAGUCCCUACUUUUUAUUCAACUCGUGCAUACCAUUUGAAAUUUUAAUUUUUUUUUUGCGGUCAUGUUUAGUACAUUACAUGAAUCUCUGUUACAAAAGUUUAAAUUUUUAUAACAAAAGAUGAAUUAAAUAUGAAUUUAUUAGUUUUUUGCACAUAAAAAUUCAUAAAUAAUUCAUCUUAUGUUAAAAAAUUCUAAAUUUUUAUCGGAGAUGUUCUUAUAAUAUUAUAAACAUGAAUACAAAAAAUCAUUCAAAAAUGUGAAAGUAUACACGAGUUGAAUGAAAAGUAGGGACUAAAAACAUUGACGGAAAAAACUUCAGAAACUAAAAAAUGUGAAAGAAAUCUUCGGGGACUAAAAUGAAAAUUAUGGAAAACUAUAGGGACAAAAAAACAUAUUUAACUGAAUUGUGUUAAUCAUAUAAUUUGGUCUCAAAAUUUGAUGUCAAAUUUGUGUAUCAACACUUGACUUCACUAUACAAAAUUUCACAUGAUGAUGAAUAACAUAACCAAGGAAAGUCAAAAGAGCACUUGAAAGAAAUAAAAAAGAUUGAUCAAUAUUUUAGCAUGUCAACAAAAUGAAUAAAUUAUAAAUGGGUUUGAGUUUGGAGUAUAAUAAAAAUUGGUUUGAGAAUAUAAUGACCUGGAAGUGAUGUGGUUUGAGAUUAUCCUUGAGAAGAUGGUGAAGGGAAUCAUAGCCACAGAUAGAAUUAUCCUCAGAGAGGUUGAGUAAUUCAUUCUCUCCUCCAUUUUGGGACUUCUCCAACUCCAUUUUGAGACAGUUUGUAAGAGUGGCAGUUUGAAUGCCCUUAUUUAUAAUGAUGAAUUCAUGUUUUGUUUUUUCUUUGUAAUUCCAUUUUCUCAUUUAAAUCGUAGUUUAUUAUGUUGCGUGUAGUAUUUGAUUUGAUGUAGAAUUGCUAGCCAAGUAAUUAGUAAAAGGUCAUUGCAAUGGAAAUAUAUCGUGUAGUAGACUGUAGACCAAGACUAAUAGUGAUUUGGAAAAAGUACACAUAAAGGAUGUGGAGUAGCAAUUUUAAUAAUGUAUGCUUAUUUUUCAAUUUUAAUAAGGCAUAUACAUUAGUUACUCAAUGUAUUUAAAAAAUAAAUUUUCUCUUUUAUUAAGGAAGUUUCGUCGAAGAAAGCAGCGUGGAAAAGAAAGGAAGGAGGUCUCAAGAGGUGGAAUAUAUUCAAUAAUGGUGGAAGUUUUAGACCACUAAGAACUUUGUCGAUAAGAAUAUUUAGUUUUUUUUUUUUUGCCUUGAGCCACCACCACCAUAAGCUUAAUCUUGUCCAAUAGCUGAAUGUGAGACAAGUGCUUUUGCUUAAAAAUCCUUCACAAAUAAAAUUCUUCCAAAUGAUCCAAAUAACUUGAAAACAACAGCGACCAUCUUUCUAAAUAAAUGAGAACCUCAUAACUGAAGCGCAUGCAUAUCCCAUCUGACAGAAAAACAUUAAGAAAUUCCCAACCAAAUAAAAUCACGAAACCAAACCAAUCGUCAGUUGGUUCAAUGAUGAUUGACGCUGAACUUGGUAGGGAGGACCACGGUUCGAUCCCCGCAACUACGAUCGGGAGGGGGCUGAAACCACUUGAUGUCAGAACUGACCCCCGAACCGAUUAAACUGGUGGUGAAAACAAAACAAAACAAAAAUCACGAAACCAAAGAUGACCAAAAAAAUCACCGUAAAAAAGGAUGAGAAAUGCUCUCCUUUUUUCCCACCCACAACCACAUGAGCAUAAGAGAAGCAGAGUUUAAGAUACCUCUCCUUGCCAAAUUAUCCUUCGUCGGAAUCUUGUUAAGGAAAAGCAUCCAAGCAAACAAAGAAACUUUAAGCAGGACAACUUUGUUCCAAAUAAGCUUCUUACAAGGCAUGGUUUCCACUGGCAUUGCUCGAGUCAAAAGCCGAUAAACUCCUCUAACAGUGUAACCAACAUCAGAAUCAAGUUUCUGAGAUCGCUUAUCAGCAACAUUGACCUGCAAAUAACAAUUUUCCGAUAAAGAACAACACUACUCCACCAACUCCUCCUCCCAAGCAAAGAGCCUCCUCCACCUCCACCCUACCCCACUGAUCCCCCAACGGAUCAACCUGCCUAUUGGCACACAUAUUAACAACUAGCUCAAACAAACGUCUGAAACGAGUGCAAACAACACCUCAAACAAACGUCUGAAAUGAGACACUAGAAAUGAUGGUACAUGUCAUGAGGACCCCUCUUCCAAUAAACAACGAGAAUGGAUAAAUGAAUAAAGAAAUAUGAAAUGCUACGAUGCAUAUGAACUUGAACACACCUUAACAAUUAAAAGAAGGGAAAGUAACUUCAGAUUCAUUUUAUUUAUGUAUAAUUGAAUUAGUUCAUUUUAGAAAAGGGAAAAAAAUAAAAAAAGUGAUUUUCCUUGUUCUUGACAGUACUGAGAGCUGAAUAAUGGAAACUUCAUUUGAAGCUGUUUCUUUUGAACAUAAUACAUAAUAUCCCACACAGAAAACAUAUUAACACUUUCUAGCACAGGUUAUUAGGAUCUCUUAUGAAGUAAGGGGUCACGGAUGACCUGAGGCUCAAAUUCUGGUUUCACAUACUGAGCAAGUGUCUCUGCAUACAACUCGUAUCGUGCAGUCAUUCUGAAACCCCAUUUGUCUUUAUAUUGCCUGCACAAGUUAAGAUCCAU
rnacentral:lncRNA from 1 species